AUUGGCAAAUGAUGUAAUUUCAGUUUUAUGCUUAACACACUGAUUAAACCAUGGUGACUAAAAACUCCGCUUAUUAUCUGAUGCCAAA